GAUGAAUGCUGGCGGCGUGCCUAACACAUGCAAGUCGAGCGGCAGCGAGGGGUGCUUGCACCCUGUCGGCGAGCGGCGAACGGCUGAGUAACGCGUAGGAAUUUGCCCCAAAGUGAGGAAUAACUGCCCGAAAGGGUAGCUAAUGCCGCAUAGGGUCUUCGGAUUAAAGGGUUUAUCCGCUUUGGGAGAGGCCUGCGUUGGAUUAGGUUGUUGGUAGGGUAAUGGCCUACCAAGCCGACGAUCCAUAGCUGGUCUGAGAGGAUGAUCAGCCAGACUGGAACUGAGACACGGCCCAGACUCCUACGGGAGGCAGCAGUGAGGAAUCUUCCACAAUGGGCGAAAGCCUGAUGGAGCAACGCCGCGUGAAGGAUGAAGGCCUUCGGGUUGUAAACUUCUUUUAUGAGUGAAGAAUAUGACGGUAACUCAUGAAUAAGCACCGGCUAACUCCGUG
rnacentral:rRNA from 1 species